UUCCAUUAAGUUUCAUAUUUUGCAUUGAGAAUUACUUAGGAAUAUUUUUUGUUUUGGUAAAUUUUAAAUUUUUAUUAAAUUUCAAACUUACAAAAGUUACAAGAAUAGAAUGCAGUAUUCCUGUGUACCAGUUACUCAGAUUUACCAAUUGUUACAUUUUGGCCUAUUUGCAUUAUCAUUCUCAUAUGAACUUAAUUGUUUUCUCUUCCUCUCACUCCACACACACACACACACACACACACACAAACUACACACACGUUUUAUUUAAACCAUUUGAGAAUAAGUAGCAGACAUUUUGCCCCUUCAUCUUUAAAUACUUCAGUAUGUCAUUUCCUAAGAACAAGAGUAUUCUCUUUUAUAACCACAGUAGUCAUUAAAAUAUGAAAGUUUAAUAUUUAUAUGAUACCGUUCUCUAAUCCAUAAUGCAUAAUUAAAAUUUUUCACUCAUCCCAAUGAUAUUCUUUAUAACAGUCCAUCCUACCCUUUCCCCACACAUUGUCCAGGAUCCAGUCUAGGAUCACAGAUUUAAUUAAGUUAUUGUUUCUCUCUAGUCUUUAAUCUGGAAGAAGUGUUCUCUCUUUUUCUUGGCCUUGACAUUUUUGGAGAGGGUAAGCCAAUUAUUCUGUAGGAAGUCCCUUAAUUUGGGUUUGCCUUUUUGUUCCUCAUGCUUGCAUUCAGGUUGUAAAUUUUGUGGCAGGAACACCACAGAAGUGAUAGUGUAUCCUUCUCAGUGCUUCAGAUCAGGAGAUACAUGAUGUUGAUUUGUCCCAUCUCUGGAGAUGUUAAUUUUGAUAAUUUGUUAAGGUGAUAUCUACCAUGUUUGUCCACUUUAAAAUUGAUAGUUGUCUAUUUGUAAUGAAUAAAUAAUUGUGGAGAGAGAUUUUGAAACUGUGUAAACAACUUGUCAUCAAACUUUCACUCACUGGUUUUAGCAUCCAUUGAUAAUUAAUGUCAGAUCUGUUAUUGCUAUGAUAUUUUCAAAAUGACAGAGUUUUUUAUUUUUAUCUCCAUUAUUUUGUCUGUAUUAAUUAGUUGGCAUUCUACUGUAAAGAGCUUUAGACCUUUCCCUUCUCCCUGACUUAUUUGUUAAUUUGUAAAUAUGAAUUCAUAGAUUUUUACUCGACACAAUGAAUUAUAAUCUGUUACUAUUUAUUUUCAUACUCAAAUUGUCCCAGAUUUGGCCAGUGGGAGCCCAUUAACGCUGGCUUCUGUGUCCUUUUGACUUGUCUCUCUGAUUCUCUGAGCAUUUUCUUCCUGGAAUGAAAACAUGUUCUGGGCUCAUUUCCAAAUACUCUCUUAGUUUCAGCCUGGAAUGAAUCAUUUCUCUAAAAAGCUCUUAUUUCUUGCAGUGAAGAAUAUUCAGAAACUAAGAUCUAGGUGAUAAGACUAUAGGCACUCAUUCUAGUCCUAACCUGUUCCACAUUUGUGUCUUCCUUCUUCUGUAGUUAAAAACCUGGCAUCUAUUAUCCUCAUAUUUACUAAUUUGUUCAAUUCUAGAAUAUAUAAAGUUUUAGAAUGCUAACCUAUACUGUAGUAAAAAUCAAGCGUACUAAGUAGAGCUCAGUAUUUGUUUAUAGUUCUCUUUGUCUUUAGACUGAAGGUACAUAGUCAAAAUAUCGUGCUCUAAUUUACUUGGAUUCAUUUUUUCUUCCAUCACACAGAGUGCUUAUGUUAUUCAUUUGAAAUAUAUUUAAGUCUGUUUGUUCCCAUUUGUAUUCUGUUUGACUUUUAAUACUCUGCCCUUGUUGAUUUGAUUGUAGAGUAUGUAAAACAUUAACAGGGUUCCAAAAGUUAAAACUAUCCAAGAUAGAGCACUGUCACUCGGUUCCCACAAUCUUUGGGGCUGAAUUGUCUCUUUCCCAAAAUUCGUAUGUUGAAAGCCUAAACCCCAGUACCUUUAGAAUGUGAUUGUAUUUGGAAAUAGGACUUUUAAAGAGAUGAUUAAAUUAAAAUGAGGCCAUUAGAGUGAACUCUCAUCCAAUCUGACUGCUAUUCUUACGAGAGAGGAAAUCUGGACACACAGAGACACCAAGGAUCCUCACCCACACAUGGCAGAAAGACCAUGUGAGCACACAGCAAGAAAGUAACCAUCUGCAAGCCAAGGAGACUUUAGAAGAAACCAAACCUACAAACACCUUAAUAUUGGAUUUCUAACCUCCAGAACUGUCAUAGUAUUUAGCUGUCACCUUGGAUUAUGCUGAUAUAGGAUUCUCAUUAUAGAUCUAGUGGCAACAGAAUGGUUCUGGUGGGUCUUGAAGAGAAUGAGCAUGCCCUUUGAAGGCAUCACUCCAGAUGAUGUUAUCACAGUGUUUUCAAUCAGAGGAAAGCUAGUUUCUCAGAUGCUUGAUUUCAAGUUAUUUCCACUGGUAAGAGAGUCCCAAAAUGACUUGGAGUUCAAGAUUGUCAGUUUUAUUUGGGUCCCAUCCAGAUGUCCCAACUCCAAAUUUUAGGACCUUAUUAUUUACCAGUCUCCCAACUUUCACAUGAAAAACACGAUAAGAGUGUAAAUUCAACUGUCAUCAUAGCUCAGCAACCUGAACAAUUUUGUGUUGAUUUUUAGCAGUAUCGGCCCUGCAACUACAAAAAAUGAGAGAUUCUUUUAGGGUUUUUAUGGAAAUGUUCUGGUUCUCAGACUGUGACUUGAGCUGAGAGUUAAUAAACCUGAACUUGUCAGUUUCUCUUUGAAAGCACUAAAGUGGAUUGAAAUGACUUCAUCCUACACCAUAGUCCUUAUAAGUCGUCAUUACUGUCACAAUGGUUAAGUACAGCAACUAUUUGGCUCCCAUGGCACUUGCUUUAGUUGGAACUUCAUCACAAUCAACCACAGCUUGAUUAAUUAUGAAGUCACAGUAUGCCAUGGAUUUCUAGUAUCCCAAAUCCUGUUGGCUUAGAGCUCUGCACUCCAGUCAAGCCGAAAAGAUUAGUAAAAAUAAUAGAACAGAUCAGUGCAACAAAGAUUUAAGGCAUGGCUAAAAGGCAUGACCAAACUAAUGCCCAAAUUCCAUCUUUGCAGGCCUGUCUCCUGGGACCACUUAAGGCACCAAUUCUGUUGCAGUCAAUAUCUAAUCAAGAGACAAAAAAUACAGUAAUUUGAACUGGGAAAGUUUAAUAUAACAAAUGAAAUAUUAGUAUAAUUAGAGUAGAGUAACAAAAGAUCAUAUAGUAAGAAGUAAAGGGAACUCUAAAGAC